CCCAAGUGUUCUUACUGGUGAACUUGUUCACUGGACUGUUUCCAGAAAAUGAAUGCAAAAAUGGGGCUGGGUCACAGAGAGAGCGACAGGCGGUGGUUUAUUUGCUUCAGAUGAAUCAAAUGCACACAGACACCGGCUGGGAUUUGACCAGCAGUGAUUGGAAAACUUGUAGGAAUCAAGUAAUGGAGAUGGUAGAGGAAAUCCUGUCAUUCAUUGUUUUAAUUUUACUGAUGUCACUUUUAUGUCCACUUUAUCCCUUGUCUCAUCUAAGGCUUCCAGAGGGAAAGUUGUGACUGACAGCUUUGGUCAGACAAGCAGACAUGACGUGCAAGAGGUCAAUUCAUUCUGUGUUUGUCAGAGAGGAAGAGAUUUAUUUGCUGUUACUUUUACUACUUGUUUGUAGCCGUGGCGUCUUGCUUAUUUUCCUAACCCAUUGCUGUUAAAAAUUGAAAGUGGUUCAAGCCUCAGGUGAAGUAACUCCCUCCGCUGACCCAGACCUAUGUACUCGCCCUGCCCUGCCUUCACCAAGUUGGUUGGUUUCCUCGUGCUGCCAUCUACAGAGCAAGCAACAGGUACACAAGGAUGUAGCCGUCCCUGUUUGCAGACCAAGAAGUGGACAAGAACUGCCUCAAGCCAAUCGGGCUGAUGGGAACCCAUUUACUUCUUGCAUUUUAGACAUUUCAAAAAACAUAUUUUAACAAAUCCUGAUGGUAUUUAAACUCUGUCUGGAACCUCAUGGCGCUGGCUGGACCUUCUCUUUUAUCAGAGGUGAAGAAAGCAGACUGGGAAUGUAUUGAUUUAUAAUGUGCUAACAUCUUUAAAAAUCUG